AAUAUUUGAAACUUCAAAAAAACUUUUAAUAUCGAUCUAAAAUUUAUGAUUGUAUUUUGAUAGGAUUUCACCCGUAGUAUACCGUCCCGAAUUAAUAGAUGUUUAAAUAUUUUAAA
rnacentral:sRNA from 1 species